rnacentral:lncRNA from 1 species
AUGCCAUGCCAUGCCAUGCCAUGCCAUGCCAUGCCAUGCCAUGCCAUGCCAUGCCGAGCCGUGCCGAGCCCCCGCAGCCCCUUGGCCCCUCCCGGCCCUGCCCAGCAGUCACAUCCUCGCCCCCUCCCUGAGACCGCUCCCCCGCACUCACCGCGGGCUCCCGACUGUCCCGCACCUGCCCACCCGCCGGGACCAGGAGUGGCCUGGCCCUGCCCUGCCCUGCCCGCCCCCAGGGCUUGGCCCCGUGCGGGGGCGGCCCGGGGAGGUGCGAGGUGCGGGGCCGGGCAGGCGGCUCUUCCCGGCCGGGCGGGUGCGGGCUGCCGGCGGCACGGAGCACCAAGCCUGGGCGGCUUCCCGAGGGCACCUGUUGGGUGGCAGCGCCCUCUCCCACGUCGGGACAUCCCGCUGCUGCUGCUGCUGCCACGUCGGUGGCCUCCCGCACCCGGCCGGCCCGCAGGCUCCAUCCCAGCCGGCCGAGGGCUAGGAGAGCUAAUGCUCUCUCCUCGCUCUGCUGCUGCCUCGCUGGAGGUACCAGCAAAAGGGGAAGCUGAAAUAGCCCCACUGAGGAUGAAGGUGGAUCUCAAAGCCUCAAUGAGCUGCGGUUCCAAACAAGGUGCCAAGAAAUGCAAAAUAGCUUUGGCCAAAACUCAGGACUACAAUGGAGCAUCCAGAAGGCAAUGCACUCUGCAGCGAAUCUCAGUGAACCUGUCAUGCUACCUCAAGAUGAAGUUGAUCAGAGAUAUGUAG